GGCUCGUUGGUCUAGGGGUUUGAUUCUCGCUUUGGGUGCAGAGGUCCCAGGUUCAAAUCCUAGACGAGCCC
rnacentral:tRNA from 1 species